rnacentral:rRNA from 1 species
AGGGUUUGAUCAUGGCUCAGGAUGAACGCUGGCGGCGUGCUUAACACAUGCAAGUCGAACGAACCUUCGGGUUAGUGGCGGACGGGUGAGUAACGCGUGAGAAUCUGCCCUCAGGAGGGGGAUAACGGUUGGAAACGACCGCUAAUACCCCAUAUGCCUAUUGGUGAAAUGAAUUUCGCCUGAGGAUGAGCUCGCGUCUGAUUAGCUUGUUGGUGAGGUAAUGGCUCACCAAGGCUUCGAUCAGUAGCUGGUCUGAGAGGAUGAUCAGCCACACUGGGACUGAGACACGGCCCAGACUCCUACGGGAGGCAGCAGUGGGGAAUUUUCCGCAAUGGGCGAAAGCCUGACGGAGCAACGCCGCGUGAGGGACGAAGGCCUCUGGGCUGUAAACCUCUUUUCUCAAGGAAGAAGAUAUGACGGUACUUGAGGAAUAAGCCACGGCUAAUUCCGUGCCAGCAGCCGCGGUAAUACGGGAGUGGCAAGCGUUAUCCGGAAUUAUUGGGCGUAAAGCGUCCGCAGGCGGCUUUUCAAGUCUGCUGUUAAAGCGUGGAGCUUAACUCCAUCAUGGCAGUGGAAACUGAAAGGCUUGAGUAUGGUAGGGGCAGAGGGAAUUCCCGGUGUAGCGGUGAAAUGCGUAGAUAUCGGGAAGAACACCAGUGGCGAAGGCGCUCUGCUGGGCCAUUACUGACGCUCAUGGACGAAAGCCAGGGGAGCGAAAGGGAUUAGAUACCCCUGUAGUCCUGGCCGUAAACGAUGAACACUAGGUGUCGGGGGAAUCGACCCCUUCGGUGUCGUAGCUAACGCGUUAAGUGUUCCGCCUGGGGAGUACGCACGCAAGUGUGAAACUCAAAGGAAUU